rnacentral:rRNA from 1 species
AUGUCGCCUCAGUCUUUCACCUUGGAGACCACCACCACCACGCCUGCUGCCAAGGGGUCAGACCCUUCCUACUUCCAAUCCGCUCCAGCUUGCCAUGAGAUGAUCCAGCACAAGGAGCUUCUUCUCCACUUGUACGCCUACCAGAACGUCCAGAAAACCCCAGAUGCUAACCAGGCAGUCAUAGUUGAGUCGAAGCGCCCCGAGUGUUUCGGAAUCCUCGCUGCUAAUGACUGGACCGUGUAUGAUGGUCCUGCCCACAAUGCAAACCUUGUCGCGCACGCUCAAGGUUUGCACCUCGGGGCUAGCAUGGCCAAAGAGAACUGGUUCAUUUGUUUCAACAUGGUCUUCGUCAAUCAGAGGUUUACAGGUUCCAGUUUCAAGGUGAUGGGGGACUUUCAGGGCACCGCCCACAACGGUGAAUGGGCAAUCGUUGGUGGGACCGGAGAGUUUGCAUAUGCACAAGGUGUCAUCGCCUUCAAGAAGACCCAACAAUCCGAGAGAAACGCCAGGAUGGAGCUUCAUGUUCGUGCUAUGUGCCUCUCCUUCUUAAGACCUCUGCUUUCUCUAGGUGACGGGAGCGCCGUCGCCAAGAUCGGCCCUUGGGGUAAAAUGAGUGGAGAGUUACUCGACAUCCCCUCGACACCGCAGCGUUUAGAGCGCAUCACCAUCCGCCAUGGCGUUGUCAUUGAUUCACUUGCAUUUUCCUUCAUUGACAAAGCUGGUGAACCAUAUAACGUUGGCCCGUGGGGUGGCCGACGUGGGGAUAACAAGGACACGAUCGAGCUUGCCCCUUCAGAGAUCGUUACGGAAGUCUCUGGGACAGUUGGUAUCUUUGCAGAAGACAAUGUCGAAUAUAAUGCUAUAGCAUCCCUCACCAUUACCACAAACCACCGCCCGUACGGUCCCUUCGGAGAAACACAGAGCACCCCUUUCAGUGUUCCAGUGCAGGACAAUAAUAACAUCGUGGGUUUCUUUGCGUGCGCUGGUAAAUACGUGGAGGCUCUCGGGGUUUACGUGCGUUCACCCGUUUCAACCUAG